rnacentral:rRNA from 1 species
GACGUAGGAGGCGAGCGUUGUCCGGAUUCAUUGGGCGUAAAGAGCGCGCAGGCGGCUUGGUAAGUCGGAUGUGAAAACCUGGGGCUCAACCCCGGGCCUGCAGCCGAUACGGGCAGACUAGAAUUCGGUAGGGGAGACUGGAAUUCCUGGUGUAGCGGUGAAAUGCGCAGAUAUCAGGAGGAACACCGGUGGCGAAGGCGGGUCUCUGGGCCGAUAUUGACGCUGAGGAGCGAAAGCGUGGGGAGCGAACAGG